UUCUUUUAGAUAUGAAAAUUGUGAUUUUGGAAUUUGUUUGAAUAUCUGGAUUGUUGGAUUUAUGGAACUACAAAAUUGAUAUGAAAUUGAAGAAAAUCUUCGGUUGUGGAUGAAGGUUGUAUACUUUGUUGUGGAUUUGGAGGUGUCGUUGGGGAAUGGAGACGGCAUUCAAAAAAAAGUAAAAAACGUGCUCUCGCUCACACAAAAGAGAUAUUUUUGAAAAAUAAAAAGGAAACUGAAGAGAAGAUGAGACACGGCUCACGGAUCCGCAUCCAGACGCACCAGACUUGCAGAGAAAGAGGUCCUGUGUAUAUGUAUUUACAUGGGCCGGGCCGUUGAAUGAGCAGUCGUCGGGGAUGAUAAAUGUAUGUAUAAAUAUUCGGAAUUGUAUGAGAGGAGAGGAGAGGAGUGGAGCGGAGUUGGUGAAGAUGAGCCCUGAAGAAGGAAUAAAGCUUUGUAUGCAUGCAUACAAGUAUGUAUGUAUGUAUGUAUGCAUGCGCCUGUUGGGUUGUCAUCAAAGUCAGGAGGAGGAGGCCAAGAAACUGAGGAUUCCAGUGCAAUGACACGGUGCGAGCGUUCAAGUUCAAGGAAACUUUAAUCUCGCAAUCGGCGUGUCACGUCUCUUGCAUCCAGACGAAUAAUCCAAUGUAAUCCGGAGCGCUCUCGUUACGACGAGUUGUCGGGAUCAGGAUCAUCGUGGGCUGUGCGAAAUUUCAAGGAUACCUACGAUAAGGAAAAGGGAAGGAAUGAAACAAGUGCUUGUGCUUGCUUGUGAGGGGUGAUUCGAAAUUGGGGGACAAGGUUAGAAUAGGGAGAGAAGACCCCUUCGGAAAAUGCAACGAGGAAAAACCUCCCUCUUCGGAUCGAUAAAGUGAUUCCCAAACUGAAUUCAAAACGAAUUGUAAAGAAGAAAGCUACCAAAUGGAGCAGUUUAAAAUUGGUUGGGAAGAGUAAAUUGCUUUUGAUCAUAUGAAGAAAGAUUGCAGUUGUUCUGGUUAAAAGGA